CCUUCGGGUUGUAAACCUCUUUCAGCAGGGACGAAGCGAAAGUGACGGUACCUGCAGAAGAAGCACCGGCCAACUACGUGCCAGCAGCCGCGGUAAUACGUAGGGUGCGAGCGUUGUCCGGAAUUAUUGGGCGUAAAGGGCUCGUAGGCGGUUUGUCGCGUCGGGAGUGAAAACUCAGGGCUCAACCCUGAGCCUGCUUCCGAUACGGGCAGACUAGAGGUAUGCAGGGGAGAACGGAAUUCCUGGUGUAGCGGUGAAAUGCGCAGAUAUCAGGAGGAACACCGGUGGCGAAGGCGGUUCUCUGGGCAUUACCUGACGCUGAGGAGCGAAAGUGUGGGGAGCGAACAGGAUUAGAUACCCUGGUAGUCCACACCGUAAACGUUGGGCGCUAGGUGUGGGACUCAUUCCACGAGUUCCGUGCCGCAGCUAACGCAUUAAGCGCCCCGCCUGGGGAGUACGGCCGCAAGGCUAAAACUCAAAGGAAUUGACGGAAUCACUA
rnacentral:rRNA from 1 species